UCAAAUAAUAAAAAUUAUUUUGCCUAAAAAUAAUUGCAUUUAUUUUCUCACGAAAUGAAUGGAUAUCUUGUUGCUAGGUGUGUAAACUAGAAACUAUCCUUGUUGUCAAGUAAUCUGGUUUUGUGAUUUAUUGGUUACCUGUCUAAACACAAUAGAGUAAUGAUGAACGCCUUAGCGUCUGGGAACCACUCAAGCGUUAUAUUAACUUCGGAUCACGUGCAAUAUUCACAGUUGAAUUUAGGUGUACUGGCUAGCGUUUCAGAUCGAUGUUAAAUUGAAUAGCUAGAUUUACAUGCCACGUGGACGAUACAGAGCGCGCCAGGAACGUAGAGGCAAACCAGCUUGUUUGGAGGAUGUCCAAGGAAAGCAAACAAAAGACGGUGGAUUUGCCAAUAAAUCUCAUGCAUCAAACAAAUGCUGUACUUAUGUUACAGAUGAUAUGCUGCCAUUUGGAUGUUAACAUCGGAAGUGAACAGAAUGCAGGCACCUUACACAGAUACAAAAUUGAACAGAUUCCUGGGCUACAAAUCAAUCGUGAAACAGACAAAUCCAAUUUGGUAUUAACUUUUUCCAGAUGGCUGAUGAUGAGAAACCUAGAUGACAAUUUACCAAGUUAUGCAUUGAGGACCAAAAGAAAAAAGAAAAAAUAUAGACAUUUUAGUUAUAUUGAUAAGAAUUUAUUUAAAGUGAAUCUAAAACUCAAAUUAAUCUUCUUUAUCUUUAUACUGAUGUCACUCCUAAUAUAUUAAGGGCCGAGAAAAAUUCUGUCGACGCGGGGGCGAUCGGGCGUGCUUACGAACGUUGUCAUAGUAUGGAUGUUACUGUGUAAAAGGUAUUGCUCUAGUGCUUUGGCAAUAUCUGACUAGCCUUGCUUAAAUGUGUCAUAGCCUUGCUUAUGUCAUAGCCUUGCUCAUUAUAGUAUAGUUGCCUUGCUUAGAAUUACAGUACGUUGCCUUGCUCCCUUGGUCCGCUAAAUAUUCCUUCAUUACUUUGGCAGCCAACCGUCGAGUUAUGGGGAAUGUUUAAUUUACUGUGGUGUACUGUAGCCUUGCUCCGUUGGUCCGCUAAAUAUUGUGGUGUACUGUAGCCUUGCUCGCUUUGCUUAGAAUCACAGUACGUUGCCUUGCUCCGUUGGUCCGCUAAAUAUUGUGGUGUACUGUAGCCUUGCUCGCUUUGCUUAGAAUCACAGUACGUUGCCAGGCUCCGUUGGUACGCUAAAUAUUCCUCAUUACUUUGACAGCCAACCGUCGAUUUAUGGGGGUGUUUGGUUUACUUAGGUGUACUGUGGUAUCCCUUGCGUUCGUGUGGUGCUGACUGUUGCUUCCACAGCAAACCGUGGAGUAAUGGUGUGGUGCUUUACAGGCGCGUCUGGUUUCCUCCCGGUCGACAGGGUUACUACAAACAAUGGAGUGGCCAAACUUUGCCAUACUAUUUAUAAUAACUUUCAUAUAUAAGUAUGAAUUACAUAAUUAAAGUUGUUGCUUGUAGUAUCAUAUGCACCUAUAAUCAGUAUAGCCUAUGUGAAUGUCAUAAUACCUAAAUGUACAAAUAAACAUGUAGUAAACUGUGAA